GGCGGUGGUGGUGGAAAAGCCCUUUCGCUUUUUCAUUGAUUCAGCCAUUUGAAGAAGUUUUUGCAUAUUUCAAUCAGUGGAACCAAAGGAGGAUUGAAAAUGAUGAAGUUUGGGCUUUGUGGGACGUGAUUUGGUUAAGAAACGAAGAAGAUAUGAGGAUUUGAAGUUUAGGAGAAAAGGGGGCGCCACAAUCGAGAGUUUCGUGGCUGCAACGUUUGAAAC
rnacentral:misc_RNA from 1 species